rnacentral:misc_RNA from 1 species
GUGAAUCAUCAAAUUUUUGAACGCAAAUGGCGCUUCCUGGCAUCCCAGGAAGUAUGCCUGUUUGAUGUUCAGUAUUAAUAAAAAAGCGUGUUAUUUACAAAUUGUUACGUUUCCGGAGUUUGUGCUAUCUUAACAUUUUUAGUUAAGAGGCUUAAAAUUGACCUUUUUUGCGCAUUUUUAAACGUACAUAAAUUUUUUUUAUUCGUCUAUUCUUAAUGCCAAAUUCUUAUUAGAUGCGAUCACAGCGUGUGGUUUCGUGUCCAUAAAAUUUUCAUGAUUGGACCUC